rnacentral:tRNA from 1 species
GAGGGUGUAGCUCAGGGGUAGACCGCGUGCUUAGCAUGCACGAGGUCCUGGGUUCAAUCCCAGUGUCUCCA